rnacentral:lncRNA from 1 species
CUACCGUUCUGCCUCCGACCGGUCGUGUAAAUACUAGGCUUUAGAAUUUCACCAUAUGAAUUUUGGGAGAGAGGAGCACAGUUCAGCCCAUAACUAACACACGUGAUGAAGAAGACAUGCCAACAGAGGGUUAAUUCCAGAUAAAAUGAAAUGUUCCAAACAGUACGUUUGGUUAUUUGAUUCAUCUGUGGGGGAAGGAAAGAUAAUUUUCCAAAGGACAUUCCUCCUAAAUUCUGUCUUAAAGUUGUUUACGGAAUGAAGUUGAUAAUAGUGAGACCUUGUUGGUACAAGACUAUGUAACAUAACCUGCGCUUCUCAACAAAGAAUUGCUUUUCUGACUUCUGCACUCAACUACUCAACAUGAAGGCAAUAAGAAUGAAGACCUCUAUGUAUAAUAAUUGACUUCCACUUAAUAAAUAAGGUUACUUGGUACACUGGUCGACAAAACCUUGAAAUGUUGAUGUUUAAGGGCUGUUGAUUGCUGGCAGCAAAGAAGUCCAACUGUGCUGGUACCCGAGAUAGCGUCUCCACAUUUUCUUCCAGGAUCAUCACCUUUGUUCUAAAUAGCUCCCACAUAGUGUGAACAGAAGUCAUAUGUUUUAGAUUUUCUGCCUUGGCACCC